rnacentral:rRNA from 1 species
UACGGAGGGUGCGAGCGUUGUCCGGAAUCACUGGGCGUAAAGGGCGCGUAGGCGGCUUCUUAAGCGGGUGGUGAAAGCUCGGGGCUCAACCUCGAGUCGGCCAUGCGAACUGGGAAGCUCGAGCACUGUAGAGGCAGGCGGAAUUCCGGGUGUAGCGGUGGAAUGCGUAGAGAUCCGGAAGAACACCGGUGGCGAAGGCGGCCUGCUGGGCAGUAGCUGACGCUGAGGCGCGACAGCGUGGGGAGCAAACAGG